rnacentral:lncRNA from 1 species
GCAGACAACACACUGAACCGAACAGCCCUUGCCAAGAAUUGCAUUCUUUGGGACAUCAUACUUGUAGGGGCACAGUUGUGUAAUGUGAUCAUCCACCUUUAAACAAUACCUACAUUCAUCUGUGUGCAAGUUGUAGACCCAUUGUUAUAUACAACAAAAGCAAUAAAAAUAAUUACUAGUUGUCUCACGUUCAAAGCCACUUGACAACUCGGUAGUGUGUAAUUUAUACUGUGGCGUGUAUCAUAAAUAAAAAUAAAUAACAAACAUACCAGCAGGAACAUGAGGGUUCGGUUCCUUCAAAAAGUCAACAUUUGGUGCUGCGUGGCUAGAGAAUAAGCUAUAAGUUCUUCAAACCUCCUUUGUUCUGCAGUUUUUGGUUGUUUAGGCUUAUCUGUUUGCAUGCAAUUAUAUUGUUAAAUACAAAAGUAAGAAAGAAAAGAAUAGGUUGUAACGUCAAAGAAGUUAGAAGGAAUGACAUCGAUCCUAAAUAUUGGGUAGUAUUCAUUGUGCACACACAAAAUAACUUGACUGGAAAAGAUAAAACUGUUUCAAAAUUUUGGGAUAAUACAUACAUCCUCUAAUUACAUCAACAAAAGUAAAACGAAAACAACAGUUUCUUUUUUCCAAAACCACACAAAGCCCAAUAGUAAAAGGGACAAAAAAUUUGUUGAGAAAUACACUCAAUUAACCAAAUGGACCAACGAUCUUCCUCUAAAAGUAUUUUCAAAUAAAAUAGAAUUAGGAUAUUAUACGAAACGAAAUUCUACCACAUAAACCAAAAAAACAUACGUACUCAUUGACUUCAAAAUUGAAUUCGAAAGUGACUUAUCGGUGGAAUAGCCAACCCUCUCUUGCGGGGAAAGAUCCUUUCCUCCGCCGCCGUCCUUAUCGAGCACCACCGAUUGGCCAGCCACAUUUGGCGAGCAAAGGAGAAGGUCCUUUGCAGAGCAGUUGUUAUCAACCACCAUGUGGGAAAGAGAUUGGGAGGGAUUUUAGGGUUAAGGGCUUGGCGUAGAGAUGAGAUUAAAAAGAUGGGUGUUUGCUUAUAGAUACUUAUAAUGCUGAACCACUUGAAGGAAUUAACGAUGUUUCUCAGCAAAAGCUUGUUCUUGGAGGAGAAGUAUGCAUGUGGGGUGAGACAGCUGAUACAUCAGAUGUUCAGCAAACUAUUUGGCCUCGAGCUGCUGCUGCGGCAGGUAAGUAGUGAAUUAAGUUGAUUUAGAGUCAAUCUCCCAGGUGUGAUAUGUAUAUAAGCAAGUACUUGGUACUGUGCGUUUUCUGGGUACUCUUCAGCUUGAGACUGAACGCCAUUUUGUUUUCCCUGUAGAGCGUUUGUGGAGCAGGAGGGAGGCAACAUCUGCGCGAAAUGGUAAUUUAACUGCACUGCCUCGGCUACAAUACUUCAGAUGCCUCUUGAAUAGACGUGGAGUUCAAGCUGCUCCAGUGACCAACUUGAUUGCUCGAAGUCCUCCAAUUUGGUCCGCGGGUCAUGCUAUGACCAAUAAUACUUCGAUUAUCAUAUUAGGUGAUUUCAUUAGUCUUAAACUUCCCUUCCAAUGCUAUACAGAUAAAUGCAAGCGUUCUAGAGAUUUUGCAUAUCUGUUGUUCAAACAUGCAUGCCUAUUUAUGAUAGCUAUUAUUGUCAGAAUUUACGGUUUAGAAUCUUUUGCUUCUUGAUGUUGAGAUCAUUGGCUGGGAAAUAUUAUGGAUCACAGAGUAUGGUCAUUGUAUUUGGAAAAAUGGGUUGUUGUUGCCUUUUUUUUUGUUGAGAAAUUCUAUAGUUGCAUUCAUAAUUCAGUCAAAAAAGUCACUAGUCACAAAGGGCCAAUACAAACUAGCCACAAAAGAGCUAUUACAAUAACGGAGCGGUCUAAUAUCAAAAUUAAGAAAAUCAGGUAUGUCUCCACUAACGAUCAGCCAAGAUCGAAGAAACUCUGGUAUAGACAUCCCAACUAAGAUUGCAAACUUAGAAUAAUAAAAAAAAGAUAAAGCUUGAAAAAAUCAAGCCAUAACAAUACAAAUAAAACUCUCACCAAGGAGAGAUGAAAAGCUCUCACAAAGUAGAGGUGAAAACUACACAGAGAACAUAAAGAGUCUUUGCAACUUAUUCCAAACAUAAAUAAAUUGCAAAAAAGAUGGUGGUAGAGAUCCGACGCCGAAAUGCAGGUGAAGAUCUGAUGCUGAGCCGCAGCCGCCUAUAAUGGUUAGAUGAAAAUUAUAACAAAACUAAGACAAAUAGGGAAAACCCUUUGUCUCUGAAAAUGGGGAAAGAGUUGAAAGGAGGAAGAGAGGAAGAGAAGAGGGGAGAGGGGAGAGGAGGGAAGAAUAAUGGCUUCCUCCCCCCUCAAAGUGGAAAAGGCUCUAAGAGUGUUUUUUGGGAGAAAAGAGGCUAGAGUUUCCCAAGAAAAUGGGUUGUUGUUGCCUAGGCGUUCCUUUUUUAUAUAUAAUUAUUUAGUACUUUAAUUUAAAUUUCUACCAAAAUCAUGCAAAAUAAAAGGAUAUGUAAAUUAUAAAGUACCAUAAUUGAUAUAAAGUCUAACACGGCCGUCUUCCAACCCCUCUCUCUCUCUCUCUCUCAGACGUAAGUUAUAACCCGCGACAUCUCUCUCUCUCUCUUUCUCUCUCUCUCACACACACACAUAGUACCAUUGUCAUCUCGUCCUUGGAGAUUCCAAAAUGGCCGUUUUUUUUCUGGGUCAGACCUGCCCAGACCCCCUAAAUUCGGUAUACAUUCAAAUACUGGGGUCAUAAAUAGGAGGGCGCGGGUGCGGGUGCAUCCCAUUAAGACUCCCAUAACAAGUCCAGAUAAGCAAGUUUUAGCUCCACUCUCAUGAUUCACAGCUGACCUAGAGAAAGAACCUGCACAAAGCCAAAAAGUGUAAAGACAAUUGUUACCCAAAAAAAAACAAAAAGAGAGUAUAAAGACAAUGCCCACGGAUUCCUACAGUUAAAAAUGAACACAGGACUGGACUGAUAGUUACGAUCAUUUAAACAGAGAAAGCAAAGCUACAAGUAAAAGGUUCUAUGGUGGAGUGGUGUGAAUCAAAGAUGUAGCAUAUCCAAAAGCUCUAGGAAUAGAAAAGCUUGGUAGGCCCUGAGGUAUAUCUCCUACCUAAUUUCUAACCAACAGCCGAGAUCCUUUAGUAACCUACUAUUAACCUAAAGUGAUGUCAAAUUCUGCUAUGAGAAAAGAGACAAUAUUACAUGAAAACAGAAGGAAUCAUACAACGGGAAAAAUAGCAACAUUCAUAGUUAUUCGAUUUUAAAACAGGCACCGGAUUAGAUUCUGACUGUUUAGGAAACUCUAUCAUUCUAUAUAAUAGGCCUGCAUUUCAACCAUUCUAUGCCAAGCUCACCAUGCUCUCUUUACCAUCCCAAUGUUAAAACAGAGCUUGCAAAACUCUAUAUUGGUUAUUUUAACAAUGCGAGAACGAUAUGUAGUGAAUCUAAGAGAAAAUGAAUAACUGACUAGGAAAUUUCUUCUUCUUCUUUAUUUUCUUUUCUUCUCGAGCUAAGAUUUUAGACAGGUGCAUUCCAUCUAGAAUCUAUUACUAAAGCAAGUAUAAACAGAACAUCCGAAAGUAUAAUCACUACAUUUUCAAAACCUACACACAUGGUUGAGUUACACUGGGAUUCUGAUUGUUGAUCAUGGCCACAUAUAUUUGACAAUUAGAAUCACAAGCUGAAAACCAAGAAAUUUAAUAUUCCAUAUUAUUUAUCCGAUUACAGAUCAUUAUUAGGAAAAAGAAUAUUGAUAAGCACGGCUAGUCAUGAAAGCGAUACCCCAAAAAUGAAGAUAAUAUACGAAAGUUAUACCACUUGGGCAUGCAAGCAAAGCAUACCCCAUCAGCUCCAGAAAAAAUAUUUUGUGGUAUGAUCGAUAUAGGAUUAUAUAACUCCUGAUUCUGGAUUAGCUACGUAAAAUUACCAACAACAUCAUCAUCAAGAAGUUUGUAUAAACUGCUGAGUGGCAUAAGUUUCAAACUCAUAUGACAACUUGUUCUGAAAGUUGGAAGUUUUAAAUAUGUACUUCGAUUUUAGUAUAUAACUUUUAUUUCAACUACUUCCAGAGGUUGUAGAAGCAUCACUUGGCCAGGCACUGCGAUAAUAUCUUUGAAUGUAUUUCCAACUCCAUCCUUAUUCUUCAAACCCUGGUCAUUCAUGCCUAGUUUAUUGUUUAGCAAGUCUUUAAAUUAAAAUAAAGUACACUAACCCCAUAAGAGAAGAACAAAAUGUAUUGAGAUAAAAACCACCUUUUACUUGAGACAUUUUCUAAAUGGAUGGAUUGGAUUCCCACAUCUUCAAGCAUAAGAAUAUAAUAGACAAUGACAAUGCAAAUUGCAAUUCAUUUGCGAUAAAAACAAUACAAGUUGUAGGCAUCUAAAUGAUAGGAUGCAUGGCUAAACAAAAACAUGCCCCAUUUUUGGCAAACAACAUAAAAAAAGCACUCCUUUCUCUUUUGCUUAACUCUAGAGUACAAUUCAUUCUCUAUUCUCUACUCUUUUGGAGGACAAGUCUAGAAAGAAAUAUAACCAGUAUAAGGGUCGCACGUAAAAGAAGAAUUCAAAUCGCGUUGCGGGCACAUAUCAGGCCAGUGGUCAUAUGACUUCCCACAGAUUCUACAAUCCAUGAGGAUUGCACGUCCACGGGUAUGGCCGCAUUGGGCACAACAUGAGUCUCUAAACCUACAUCCGCAGACAACACACUGAACCGAACAGCCCUUGCCAAGAAUUGCAUUCUUUGGGACAUCAUACUUGUAGGGGCACAGUUGUGUAAUGUGAUCAUCCACCUUUAAACAAUACCUACAUUCAC